ensembl:lncRNA
CUUCCCCUCCAGCUUCAUCCUGAAAGAAAAAAGAGAACUGGCAUAGUUUUAACUACUAAAUGUUCAUUUUUCAGGUUCAGAGAUAUUUUCCUGUCUCUUCAGGGCCCUUGGUAUUGGUGGUGCUACUGCAGAGUAAAAGCAGUGCAGGUAACAGGGCAGCUGAACAUCCUCCCAGGAGAGUGGAUCAAGGACUCAGUGCAGGAUUACCUGAGAAAAAGAGCGAGUCAAGGUUGUCAAGGAACAGCAGCCGUAUUUUCUGUUAACCCCAGGUGAGCUGAGGUUUCCUUUUGGUGCUUAAGCACUGCAUCAGCACAGCAUGAGAGAUGUGUUUCUGCUGGAGUCCAUGUAAGGUAUUUUCCAUGUAAUUCGAGGGAAUUUAGACUGUGUCAAUAGUGAGAGACAGUGAUGCAAAGCACUUUGGAUCUGAAAGGACAGGGGUUGAAGAGGAAGAGGAAUAACUGAUGUGCACAGAGCGGGAACGCACCAGUGACGGCCAGGGAUUGUGACCCAGUUCUUUCAGAUUUCCAGCCAGAGCCCCUCGCUGCUAGACCCUGAUGCCUUCCAAGGUUGCCAAAAUGUGCACAAGAGAGGGGACACUGAGUGGUUUGGACAUCUGUGUUUGACUGACAUUGCAGUUCUGCUCUGGCAGCCUUCACUGUCACUUCUUGCAACAAGUAAACAGGGCUGUAAUUCCUAACUCCAGCAGAAAGGAUGCAGGAAAUGCUGCUGCUGCUGCUGCUGGAAAUGACAACACAUUGCAGAGCAAUGGAAGAGACAACACAUGCUAAGGGAUUCUGCUGCUGAGGACAUCAAAGGGCCAACUUUUUGUUCUCAGUGCAAGUAGACAGUGAAAACAAACAAAAAAAGAGGAUGACAAUAAUGGAUAGAUCACAAUGGGUCCAUUUAUUUUGUAUUACAUAAUAUUCAAUAUGAAAAGGCCCUUGGGAAUCAUUCUUCCACAGCUUUCCAGAUCAGCUUUGUGCCCUGUUAAUUACAGAUAGUCAAAAGAGACAAAGCCUUUCACAAUUCAUAAAUUUAUCAUCAUCUCUCUGAUAGCACUGUUGAUAAAAUUUGAUCAUAUGUUCAGAGCAUAGUUCUACUGCAGCUGCUGGAAUUUUGGGGGGGAUGUGGUGGGGUGAAGCUGGAGAGAAUGCUCUGCACUCCCACACUUGAACAGCUCCAACUUUCAACAGCCUUUCAUUUCAGCGUGGUUCACAUCCAAAUUUGGGUUAUGGCCUCUUUUGUAGUCACUGCUUUGGCACGGCUGAGACACUGAAAGUCUGUUUUCACUUGUGACCUCUCCAAUUUUCUAUAAAAUUUCACAUCAUGUUGUGGAGAACGUUGUGGCGAGGGUAUCUGAGUACCUUUGUGAAUGCUGGUUUUGUUAUUUGUUCCUUAGCAUGACAGUUAUUUAUAUUACAGUGAUAAAAGACUAAACUCGGUUCCCUGACAGGAGAGGGCAUCUUGAUUGAUGGAUUUUGCAGCAUAAGUCAAUCAGUCAGUUCAUUUUGGAAUGAUUUUUUUUACCUUGCAAGAGAGACCAAAUUUCUACAAAGAAAUUCACUAUAUGAAAAAAAGUGAUGUGAAAAACCAGCUGAAAAUGGAAUUAAUUUUUAAUUGAACCAAAAAUAUGCAGAUUUUAGCAAAGCGUACAUUUUUUGCAGAGUUGUUUUGGGAAUUUUUUUGUCUCUGAAUGCUUUUGAGCUAGAAGAAAUGAAAAUUGGCAGCUAUAAUUAUCUGGAAACCCAGAAGCAUCUUUGAAUUUAGAUUUGUACUUUCUUCCUGGGUUUUUAAUGGCUCUCUGAACUAGCUUUUGAUAGCAAUAUCCUUUUUUCUGCUAUUGUAACUCCAAAAUAAUUUUCUAAAAUAUUUGAAUGACUACCAAAAGCAUUCUUUUUAAUGGUAGAAAGGAAGAAAAAUAGCCCAUGUAUCUUACCAGUCUUUUUCAUGAUAGUUGUUGACAGCAUAAAAGUUUGGUGUGGAUGAUAGCUGGAAACAGAAUUGCCACCCAGGUGGGUGAAUGCCAGAUUUGCUAAGGCUGGUGCUCAGAAACACCAAGAGCAACAAAUUCCAUUUAGUUAAGAUUUACUACAGCACAAACAAGAAUAAAUGUGAGGAAAAUUCCA